GAGUCUGGUUAGGAUUGAUUUCCUGCCCGCUCGCUUUAAUAAAUGUCUUCCAGAGUCAUUAAAGGAGGAGAAGACAUCAGCUCCCAUCGAUCCUCACAGUUCAUCACACAAUAAUAUUCACUAUUUAGAGCAAACGGAUGGUCGAGAGUCUAUUAGAGAGAGUGGAUCACAUACAGGAGAGAGAGAGAGAGACGGUCGGGUGAGUUUGUUUUCUGACUCUGAGUUCGGACUGUAAAUGUUGGACUGAGACGUCAUGGAAACAGAGUUCGGCUUUUAAGAACAAUUCAGAGUUGAAGUACGACCGCAGAAAUAUGGAAGUCAAAGAUGUCAGAGGACUUCUUUAACCGCGCCGGGUUCAACAACAACUUCUCAACUACCAGAGACAUUUUAUCCUGUGAGGGAGUCAUGGACGCCACAUCCUGUCAGCUGAUAAAUAAAGACUUAGCUUUGUUUUGGAAAUCAUGGACGCCACAUUCUUAUAGAAAAUUUUAAAGGUCAUGACCUUAGCCUGUUACCGUACCACACCGUUACAAAACAAACCUGAAAUGAGUCUUAAUUUGUUUUAAAAACGGUCCGUUUUAAAGUUUUUACACUUUUUAUGUUUUCUUUAUUUUGACGAGAAAGUGGGGAGAGUUUCUCUGUGAGAGACUGUGUGAGAGUAAUGAUCAUCAGAGAAAGAUCACAAAGAGACCAGGACCAAAACCAGGACCUGAUGGUUCUGAUCCACACUGCAUUAAAAACAGACAGACUCUAGAGUGGAGGUCAUCGCAUGGGCUUAAAAUUCAUGUCUUUUGCACUUAAUUAAAAACGGUUUAAAAUCCCUCAAAUGAUCUUGUUUGUAAAUUUUAUCAGUAACAUUUUCGACCUUUAGCUUCUCGGCACGGCUAACAGUUUCCAUUAGUUUCCAUUCUUUGUGCUAAGCUAGGCUAACCCUCUACAAGAAAAUAAUCCAUUCAACAAAAUACAGAGCACGCCAGACAAAGUGUGUGUGUGUGUGUGUGUGUGUGUUUGUGUGUGUGUGUGUGUGUGUGUGUUCAGCAGAGACACUUAGACUCUGCAGUAAACACUCAUCUCUUAUUAACACACCACAUCUCUAAAACAUGAAGCUCAGCCGGCGGCGGACCAUCCAUCGUCGAUCCACGUCAGGCUGAGAGGAAACAUUCAGCACACUCUGACUGCGCACACACACACACACACAUGCACGCACUACUCUGUAAGUGUGUGUGUGUGACUGUGUGUGUGUGUGUGUGUGUGUGUGUGGUCAGAGGAGGGUAAUAUCUGCUGACUGAUGGCGGCGACGACAGGAAGGUCCUGAAGCAGCCAUCAACUAACCGGACUGUAAACACAGAGAGUGGUGUGUGUGUGUGUGAGUGUGUGUGUGAGUGUGAGUGUGUGUGUGUGAGUGUGUGUCCAUUGAUUAAUUGAUUGAUUAUCAUCAUGUUACUGAUGUCAGGUCGUGGCGAUGAGCUUCAGCUGUUGAGGGAGGAGAGUUCGUGAGAAUCGCUGCAAAGAGGUUCAAGUGUGUGUCUGUGUGUGUCUGUGUGUGUGUGUGUGUUUGUGUGUGUGUUUGUGUGUGUGUGUGUGUGUGUGUAUUUUAAGAGUGAGAGUUGUUAAUGAACCUCGAGGCCUGUGUGUGUGUGUGUGUUUGUGGUUGUUGUGAUGUGUUCACUAAAAACACAGAAACUCCUGUCUGUGUUUUUACUGACUUUAGCUCAAACACUCACAGAUGAUUUGUGUCUUUUAACCCAUUUUAACUGAUUUUAACCAACUUUUAAGUCUGCGUUUAAAGAGUUUGCUGACUUUUUAGUGAAGCUUUAACCAUGUUUGGGUUUUUAUUUGAUUUUAUCUGUUGUAGCAGAGAGUGAGAGUGUGAGUUCCCGUAAGCUUUAUUGGGUUUUAAAAGGUUUUAAAAGGUUCUGAUUGCUUUUAAUAUUUUACUUUUAUCUUUUUGUUUUUACUGGACAAAAGGUUUUAGUCAUCAGACUCUUGCUGGAUCAGCUACAUGGCGACCAUGGAGGUUACCGCCACAGACGCCAAGUUGGUUUCCUCCUCCGUCUGCAUCCCCCUCUUCAACAAAUACUCAGAUUGAUUAAUUAUUUAAUUAUCAAAAUGUUUGAUUGAUUCUCUCUUUAAAAAAAACACGGACUGAACCUUUAAACGGAGAGGUCACUGUGAGGUCAGAACAUUAUUUAUGAUCAAUAUGAGAAAUGAAAGAAUGAAAACAACAACAAAGAAUUAAACAAACAAUACAGUAAAUACAGUGUGUGUGUGUGUGUGUGUGUGUGUGUGUGUGUGUGUGUGUGUGUGUGUGUGUGUGUGUGUGUGUGUGUGUGUGUGUGUGUGUGUGUGUGUGUGUGCGUAUUUAACACAUGAUAGGAUAUCACAUACAGCAGGAUCAUCUUCAUGUGGACGUCCUGAUGUCUCUCUAUCUUUCUCUCCAGAGAGGGAUGAGUUUCCCUGACACACACACACACACACACACACACACACACACACACACACACACACACACACACACACACACACACACACUUCAAUCCUUCCAUCCUGCUUUUUGCUCUCUAUUUCAGUCUAAACUGGAUUUGUUCUGCAUCUUGAGUCACCUCGGAGACACAAGAUAUCUGCUCUGAGUGUGUGUGUGUGUGUGUGUGUGUGUGUGUGUGUGUGUGUGUGUGUGUGUGUGUCUGUGUGUGUGUGUGUGUGUGUGUGUGUGUGUGUGUGUGUGUUUGGCUGGAAAUCUGAUUGCCGUUAUGGAUUUUUUAAAUCGCUCUCGAGGUUUUCAGGAAAAUCUGUCAACUUGUGUUUUUGCACUUCUGUGGUCACACAAACACACAAACGCACACACACACACACUCACACACACUCACUCACGCGCACACACAGAAGUGAUGAUGGCUUGUGUUUGUAUGAUUCAGUGGCAGAGAAACACAAACACAGACGUGGUUUCUUUUUAAAGCUCGGAGACCAAACCGAGUCUGUCAGUAAAUAUGUCUCCUGCUGGAACAUCGCAGUUCUCGUUUUUUCAACGAUCAUUUCGCCUCAGCUGAUCACAAGAGACAUGGAGACGAACAAGUGAAAGGUUUUUAGACGUCAUUUCACCCCGAUGACACCAUGAAUGAGGAGAUGCUGAUUCUAGAAGUCUAGAAGUAGAUUUCCUCCUCUGGAAGGACACAAUCUACUGUUUAUAUGUCUAUGUGUCUGUCUUUAUAGAGACAACUCGUUAUCGCGCGAUUGAACGUGAGUUCUUGUGACUUCUCACAAUUCCUGCUGUCCGUAAUCCACCACGAAAUUCGGAAUUCAAGGGUGAAAAUCGCCGCCGUUCUGGAUACGGUGGAAAUUUGGAGAGCGACAGUUGUUGGUUUUAAACCCACUUAAGUAAAACAAACAAUCCCCGAUCUGUUUAGUUUAGCUAGCUAAGUUUAGCUCCUAUCCAAGUACGGCUCACCAGACUCGUAAAUAACGCUCCUUUUUUAUCUACCAUGUCUGAAAAUCUAAGUUACUUUUUCGCCCUCAUUGAGGAUUCUUGCUUAAUCAGACAGAACCAUCAAUGUGAUGCAGACUGCAGUUCACUGAAUGACCACCGGUGUCACUAAAGGACUCUUUGAGCAUCCCUGCUGAACAAAUAACGCACAUUCUUCUUAAACGGUCCAAAACGUACGGCGCGCUGUGAAUUCAAGCGUGUCUGAUCAGGUGUUGCUAGUUAAGCGGCGCACAAUCAGUAACUGUAUUUUCUUUAUUCAAUCUUUAUUUUUCAUUUAAUCGCAUUUUUCCGAUUCUUCUCGUACCUUAUAAACCAGAUGCGAGGUGACCCGGUAACAACUAGUUGAAAAGGAGCAUGUCGCCGUCUACCAUAGCGACCGUGGACACGCCCCCUUUUAGUUUAUUGACCUUUUUUUGCAUGUAUAAGAAGGUCCCUUAUUUGUAUUUUCUUCCGAAGCUCACCGUCCCUGUAAACCAUGAUCCCCCACACACGGACUCGCUCUGAUGUCUUCGGUCGAUUUCGAAGGAGCCCCAAACAGCUUGUGACCCCUGACCUUUGACCUCCUUCCAGUUUUUCUUGUACCGCUGAUCUGCGAGCGACCGCGGCUUGUUUUACAGCUGACCUCACCGAGAGACGGCGAGGCCAAACAAACACUUUAACCGCGUGAAAGGCGGGAAAGUAACUUCCUGAUGUAGACGGAGAGAAGAAGAAGAAGAAGAAGAAGGAGGAGGAGGAGGAGAGGAAGAGCGAGGAUGUAAAGCGAGAUGUAACGUGAGAGACGGAGGUGUGAGUUAAUGUGUCCAUCUCUCUGAGUGUGUGUUCAGUCUGUUUAUCCACCCCAGAGAGCGUGUGUGUGUGUGUGUGUGUGUGUGUGUGUGUGUGUGUGUGUGUAAGGUGAUUACAGAUCUGGAAGCUUUGGUUACAUCCCCUUCUCUCCUCCCGACCAAACGGCGGUGGGUUUGAUGGUUUUAGUGCCUCUCUCCGCUCGAUGCAAAUCUCAUCACCAGUUUUCAGACACGAACGCUGGGAAGCGACAAACAGAAACCGGAGAGAGGCCGCAUUAACGCCGCCCGCCGCGGCUCCUUCAAGAAAAGAAAAAGGAAACCAGAGGCUGAAAAUAUGGCGUCGGGUUUCAGCCGUUUGGAAAAUAUCCUCAAUUUGAUCAAAAAUUUAUAAUGUGACUUUUAGAGCGGCUCUGGUUUCCUGGAGGCUGCUGCUGCGCAUUAUACAGCUCCUUUAAUGCAGUUAACACACUUAAACACACCGCGCUGCCCUGCACUCCGCGUGUGUGUGUGUGUGUGUGUGAGUGUGUGUGUUUGUAACGCAAUACGAGUCUGAAUGUGAGGGUGUGUUUGACCGUCCGGAGCUGCGAAAAAGACUCAAAAUCACAGUUUUCAGAAGAGUUCGUUAUCGGGAAGACGAUAAGUUUUUAAAAACGUUUAAAAUGAUCUUAAAAUGAAUUUUAAGACACGUAUUAAAAUAAAAAGCAGGAGCAGGAUUCUUCGUUGAAACGGACGUGUUGCUAAUGAGGAUUCUUGCUUAAGCAGACAGAACGAUCAACAUGAUGCAGACUGCAGUUCACUGAAUGACCACCGGUGUCACUAAAGGACUCUCUGAGCUGAACAAAUAAUGCGCAUUCUUCUUAAAUGGUCCAAAACGUACGGCGCGCUGUGAAUUCGAGCGCGUCUGAUCACAUGUUGCUAGUUAAGCGGCGCACAAUCAAUGGCGGUAUUUUCUUUGUCAAACGUUAAUUUCAUUU